rnacentral:rRNA from 1 species
AGGCCACUGCUAUCGGAGUUCGAUUAAGCCAUGCGAGUCGAGAGGUGUAAGACCUCGGCAUACUGCUCAGUAACACGUGGACAACCUACCCUGAAGUGAGGGAUAACCCCGGGAAACUGGGGAUAAUACCUCAUAGACUAUGGAUGCUGGAAUGCUCUGUAGUUCAAAGGUCCGCCGCUUCAGGAUGGGUCUGCGGCCGAUUAGGUAGUUGUUGGGGUAACGGCCCAACAAGCCUGUAAUCGGUACGGGUUGUGGGAGCAAGAGCCCGGAGAUGGAUUCUGAGACACGAAUCCAGGCCCUACGGGGCGCAGCAGGCGCGAAAACUUUACAAUGCGAGCAAUCGUGAUAAGGGAACUCCGAGUGCCUGUAAAAUCAGGCUGUCCGCCAGUGUAAAUAACUGGUGAAGAAAGGGCCGGGCAAGACCGGUGCCAGCCGCCGCGGUAAUACCGGCGGCUCGAGUGGUGGCCACUAUUACUGGGCUUAAAGCGUUCGUAGCUGGUCUGUUAAGUCUCUGGGGAAAUCUUCCGGCUUAACCGGAAGGCGUCUCAGGGAUACUGGCAGACUAGGGACCGGAAGAGGUGAGAGGUACUUCAGGGGUAGGAGUGAAAUCCUGUAAUCCUUGAGGGACCACCUGUGGCGAAGGCGUCUCACCAGGACGGCUCCGACAGUGAGGAACGAAAGCUGGGGGAGCAAACCGGAUUAGAUACCCGGGUAGUCCCAGCUGUAGACGAUGCACGUUAGGUGUAUCGGUGACCACGAGUCACCGAGGUGCCGAAGAGAAAUCGUGAAACGUGCCGCCUGGGAAGUACGGUCGCAAGGCUGGAACUUAA